GACGAACGCUGGCGGCGUGCUUAACACAUGCAAGUCGAACGGAAAGGCCCUGCUUUUGUGGGGUGCUCGAGUGGCGAACGGGUGAGUAACACGUGAGUAACCUGCCCUUGACUUUGGGAUAACUUCUGGAAACUGGGGCUAAUACCGGAUAGGAGCUCCUGCUGCAUGGUGGGGGUUGGAAAGUUUCGGCGGUUGGGGAUGGACUCGCGGCUUAUCAGCUUGUUGGUGGGGUAGUGGCUUACCAAGGCUUUGACGGGUAGCCGGCCUGAGAGGGUGACCGGCCACAUUGGGACUGAGAUACGGCCCAGACUCCUACGGGAGGCAGCAGUGGGGAAUAUUGCACAAUGGGCGGAAGCCUGAUGCAGCAACGCCGCGUGCGGGAUGACGGCCUUCGGGUUGUAAACCGCUUUCGCCUGUGACGAAGCGUGAGUGACGGUAAUGGGUAAAGAAGCACCGGCUAACUACGU
rnacentral:rRNA from 1 species